rnacentral:tRNA from 2 species
AACGACGUAGUUUAUCAAAGAAUCUUGGGUUUGCAUCUCAAAGGUGGAAAGCUUUCCUUUCGUUA